rnacentral:lncRNA from 1 species
CGCGGCACGGGAGGUGGCUCCCAAAGGCAGGGAACGGCGAGGAACAUGGGCACUCGGGGCUCUGCCGAGUUGCUCGUUCAAAGAGUGCAGAUAUUGAACUGCUGGGAAACUACCUGCCUGAAACUCCACAGAAGCCCCAUGCGAGUGGUGCCUAUUGUUUCCAUGAGCAGAGCCUCCUCUCAGACACUAAAGCAGAGUGCAGUUCUGGUGUAGAAACUGAGGACAGAAAAGUAAGUGCCUUGUUUUAAUGUGAUUUUUCAGGCAGCUCUAGUGGCGGGGAUUUUCUCUGGUUGUUGUUCAGGGGUUUUUUUAUUAAACCAUGUGAAAUUAUUUUAUGGUUCUUAGCAUGUGUAAGUGCUCAUGUUGUAUUUUAACUUCAAUGGGGAGAAAUCAGUCUUACUCUAUUGAAUAUACUUGUUAAAAAUUUGAAUAACUGUUUCAGAAGAAGCAGAAGUGAAUUAUAGUACUAAUCUCUUUGUGCUACAAAAAAAAAGUUUACAAGGCAGUUGCACUUCUUAUUCUUAAUUUACAUUGUUAACAAAGUUAUUGUGAGUCUGUUAUGGUAAAGUUGGCAUACCAUGUUAAAUAUUUGUAAGACAGCAAGAUAAUUGCUUUUUCUUGCUUUAAAAGUAGUACCUUUGAAACCUUAUUUUUUUU